AAAGAAGAACAAGAGCAAGGAGAUACAAUUCAUAUAGACCUUGGUAACUUUAGAAGUCUCAAGGUCCCGGGCAUAUUUCAAUCGCUAUAUUUCCAUGGAAUGGUUCAACAGUCUUUCUUUCUUGGGAUCUACAGAGAAAUGCUGGCUAUGACUGACAAAUACUGGCAGAUCUUCAGAGCACAGCUGGUCGUCCAUGAGUCGGUCCGUGGAAAUCCAGAGAGAGAUAGUCCUUACCUCACGUCUGUUAUUCUCACAAACCAGGUGUGCGAAGAGUAUAUACUAACCGUAGUGAGCCUCCCUAUCCUGAGGGAGCAGUAAAGGGCUUCCAAACACCAAAAGAGGGCGAGACCAGACUGAAGACUUUGUUGCAGUUUCCAGGCAACACGUAGAACGAGCCUGUGGAGAAAAGGUGGAGGAGGUGCACCACAGGCCGGGCCGGCUCUCAUGCACUUGGGGCCUGGAGGCAUCGGCGUGAUUAAUGGCACAGGUAUGCGCUAUAGCAGGCAUCCUCCGAGAACCUACAGAUCAGUCUUCCUGUAAUACAAAUCCGACAUUUCGCUCCCCUCCCCUUUCUCCACCCCACCUGCCACUGCAGCACCAUCAUCAGAAGCUCAGCUCCUCACUGCCAAGUGCAUCACCGACAUCACACUCAUAAAUCAUUCCCAAACAAAACACGCUUAAUCUGUGACACGCAGGCCUGACACACAAAUUUAUUACCUGUGUGAGAUGCACAACAACAUGUCCCUAGCACCUUCUGUCUGUCGGAGAAGAAAAAAAUAAUACGGAUGGGGAUGGGGAGGGAGGACACUUGCUAAACUUCAUGCUUAGUGUAGGGAUGCUAGCUCCUGUUCUCUGAGUAUGAGAGACAAAGCAUUUACAAGGCUGGUUAAUUUCAAGGGCUUAUUACAGCACAGAGAGCUCUUUCUUCUGCCGCCUCACUCUUGCCAAAGGAUUUUACUCAAGCACAUUUGUAAGACAUGAAUACAUAAGUCCUUUUCAUGGAUUAGGUUGGCAAUGAGAUGAAUGGUCUGUGGUAUGAGUCAAAUUGCCUGAUU
ensembl:lncRNA